rnacentral:rRNA from 1 species
CACGUAGGGUGCGAGCGUUGUCCGGAAUUAUUGGGCGUAAAGAGCUCGUAGGCGGUGUGUCGCGUCGGCCGUGAAAACCUGCAGCUUAACUGUGGGCUUGCGGUCGAUACGGGCAUCACUGGAGUUCGGCAGGGGAGACUGGAAUUCCUGGUGUAGCGGUGAAAUGCGCAGAUAUCAGGAGGAACACCGAUGGCGAAGGCAGGUCUCUGGGCCACUACUGACGCUGAGAAGCGGAAAGCAUGGGGAGCGAAACAGG